rnacentral:misc_RNA from 1 species
UUUCCGUAGGUGAACCUGCGGAAGGAUCAUUCAUAAUAAAGUGUUUUAUGGCACUUUUUAAAAAUCCAUAUCCACCUUGUGUGCAAUGUUAGAUCUCGUCAAUCUUGGCGAGAUUUUUAUACAUCAACUCAUUCUUUAACUAAUUUGUCUGAAAAAUAUUAUGAAUACUUAAUUCUAAAUACAACUUUCAACAACGGAUCUCUUGGCUCUC